GACGUAGGGCGCGAGCGUUGUCCGGAUUUAUUGGGCGUAAAGAGCUCGUAGGCGGCUUGUCGCGUCGACUGUGAAAACCCGCGGCUCAACUGUGGGCUUGCAGUCGAUACGGGCAGGCUGGAGUUCGGUAGGGGAGACUGGAAUUCCUGGUGUAGCGGUGAAAUGCGCAGAUAUCAGGAGGAACACCAAUUGCGAAGGCAGCUCGCUGGGACGUAACUGACGCUGAGACGCGAAAGCGUGGGAGCAAACAGG
rnacentral:rRNA from 1 species